rnacentral:lncRNA from 1 species
UUAACCAUAUGGCCGGCCUUAGGGUGUUGUCUGGGCUUUUGGGCUUUUGUGAAUUAAGUUGUCAUACAACUUAAGUCAAUGGGCUUGACGUUCGAAGCCCAUUGGGCCUAAACGUCCAAAACUAUCCCGAGGUCUUUAACGAACUUAUUCGCUUGAUUAAUUAACAUAUUAAUUAAUCCUUGCCAUAAAUAAUUAAACCAUUUAAUUAUUCUUACUCAUCUCCAUU